GACGAACGCUGGCGGCGUGCUUAACACAUGCAAGUCGAACGGAAAGGCCCUGCUUUUGUGGGGUACUCGAGUGGCGAACGGGUGAGUAACACGUGAGUAACCUGCCCUUUACUUUGGGAUAACUUCAGGAAACUGGGGCUAAUACCGGAUAUGAGCUCCUGCUGCAUGGUGGGGGUUGGAAAGUUUGGGCGGUUGGGGAUGGACUCGCGGCUUAUCAGCUUGUUGGUGGGGUAGUGGCUUACCAAGGCUUUGACGGGUAGCCGGCCUGAGAGGGUGACCGGGCACAAUGGGCCUGAGAUACGGCGCAGACUCCUACGGGAGGCAGCAGUGGGGAAUAUUGCACAAUGGGCGGAAGCCUGAUGCAGCAACGCCGCGUGCGGGAUGACGGCCUUCGGGUUGUAAACCGCUUUCGCAUGUGACGAAGCGUGAGUGACGGUAAUGGGUAAAGAAGCACCGGCUAACUACGUG
rnacentral:rRNA from 1 species